rnacentral:rRNA from 1 species
UACGUAGGUGGCAAGCGUUGUCCGGAAUUAUUGGGCGUAAAGCGCGCGCAGGCGGUUCUUUAAGUCUGAUGUGAAAGCCCACGGCUCAACCGUGGAGGGUCAUUGGAAACUGGGGAACUUGAGUACAGAAGAGGAAAGCGGAAUUCCACGUGUAGCGGUGAAAUGCGUAGAGAUGUGGAGGAACACCAGUGGCGAAGGCGGCUUCUGGU